GCCCGCAUACAACCCUUCGUCAACGCAAAAUCAUAACAAAACAGGGCGAAAAGGGCUUUCCGUCUAGCGACGCCCGCAUCGCCUCCCUGGCCGCUCGGGGGAGAACCAUAGCCGAUCCUUCCUUCCCCUACCUCCUCCCUGGCGCCCUGCGGCGGAGCUGGGUCCGGUCCAAUGGAGGGCGACGGCGGGGCAUCUGGUUCCUGCCGCCAUGGCGCGGGCGCGGGUCAUUGUUCUCACUGCAACAGUUUUGAAAUCAUCAUCUGCAAUUAGAUUCGAUUUGGAGUGUCGGUGGAAGGAGGAGGCAGUGGCGCCGGCACAUAGCAAACUGGACUGAAGAUGGAGUAGCAGAGUCCUCUGAUCUACCACAGUGUCCGAAUGAUGCUGCCCACUGCUCCAUCAGCUUGUACCCCUCAUCUCUAAAUUAGCAUUAUAACAGGUAAAUACAGAAAUGAUAAUUGCAGCCAUGAACCUGUCGAGUCGAUAUAUGAUACCAUCUUCAGGCACAUGAUAAUCACGCCUUUGCGGGUCAUCGGCAUACUUGCAAUGGAUUGAGCAAAUGGCCUCUCUUCAUUCACACAUGUUCUCAUUUGAAGCUAUUCGAGGUGUUGAAACACAUAACAAUAGAAGAGAUGCAUUGCAUGUGUAUUGUCUUUUAAUCAUGCACAUUUUGGUGCAUGAUUAUUGUCAAAUGGUUUGUCUAAUACUGAGUAGAUCCGCACGUAUGUCAAGGUUCUUAAUAUGGAACCAUUAGAUGAUGGAUGACCAUUUUUUGCAAUAUCUGACUGAGGAAUAAUGGUACAAUUGAUAAGGGUUGGACUUCCCUCUGCAACCAUCCUCUUUGCUAGAGUAAUUCAAGGUAUGUUUCCUUGCUCAUUUAGGCUGGUUACUGAACCUCUUUGUGAACCAAUGAAGGCAUUCUCUAUGCACAAAUAACUUAGUGCUACUAUUGGUUUCUACAUUGAAAUUUCCACAUUUGAAUAAUUUAGUAACAAUAAAGAGUUUUUUCAGUGACUUUGUGAGAUGUUACGCAACACCAUGCCCCUAAUUGUAAUGUAUUCGAUCCUCGUGGCACAAUCCUAUCUCAUGAAUAAUUGAGACAUAUAUUGAUGCAUAUAUGGUGUGACUGGGCACCCGCACUUGUGUAACAUUCCAAAAGUGCAAUUUAUGGAAACCUAGCAAUUUUAGAUGCCUAUGAACAUCAUUAUGUCUCAUCACGAUCUCAUCAAGGAUAUGGUGCUUUGUUUUGAUUUAUUUCACCAAAACCUUAUUUUUCAAUUUAUAUGUGUGCAAACGAUCUUUAAUCAUCAUAUUUAACGAUCUUUAAUGUGUUUCAUCAUUUGUAGGCUGCAAAGUGACAUAAUCAUGGAUGGUGUUACCUAAUGGGCUGGAGAGUUUCUAAAUUAUGAGAUGUGCAUGAUUAAGCAGGCCCUGCUUCAUUACCGAAAAAGGCUUUCGCCCCGUUUUAUAUAUAAAGCAUCAAACCACAAGCAUCCAGUACAACCACACACCACGCCACCGCAACACAUGCACACACCCAAGACAUGAUACAUAGGCGCUGAGCGCAGCAACACCACUCCUAGCGCUACCGCCCCGAAGAUAUGAAGCUACAUAUGACGAACCAUGCGCUCCAAGGCGACGCCUUCAGAAAGGAUACGACGCCGGAGCGCCGCCAUCGCCCGAUCCAAGGAUCAGAGUUUCCCCCAGAGCCGCAUGACGGGCAAUGAGAGCCGCGACGACGCCUUCAAGAAGGGAACGAUCUUCCCCGCCGCAGGUCCGUCCGAAGAUAGAGCAGGUUUUCACCUCGGCCAACAAUCAUCGCCACCGAACGCCACAACCCGGCAACCACGCCGCCCACACGACCAUGAUGACCGGGCAGCACCAAGGCACGGGCUUUGUCCAAGAGCACCGCGCAACCACCACCACCAGGGCCGCCGCCCCAGCAUCCAAGACCUCGACAUCACCUCACCCGUGACCCGCCGCACCCCACCUUUCGCACCCCUGGGCGACCACCAGCGUCGAGACCCAAUAGGUCGGCCAGAACUGGUAUCCACCGACCCAUCCUGCUGCCCCAAGCGCGAGAUGAGCUCGGUCCUGCAGCAAUGAGAGGGGGACGAGGUCAGUCUUGCUGCAUCGUGCGCGAGACGAGCUCGGUCCUGCUGCAUCGUGCGCGAGACGAGCUCUGUCCUGCGGCAUCGGGCGCGAGACGAGCGGUCGACCGCAGCUGGGAGAGGACCAGCCCUUUGAUGGGAGUAGCGUCCGGGCGACGAGGAGAUAGGGUGAAGGUCGAGACGGCCCGAACCCAGACAAAACGACGCCGGAGAAGCCGACUGUUGCCGCGGACAGAUCCAUCGAGCCACCGUGAAGCCGCCACGACAUCGGAAGGCUACCGAGACCUGCCCUUGCCGCCGCCCACGGCCGGAGCAGGAGCCACGCCCAGCCGCUGCCUAUCCGCGUCGCCCGGCGAGCUCCAAGCGCCGGAGCCGCCGGGCACGCACCACUAGAGCCACCGCCACUGCACCGCCACCCCGACCAGCCGAGGGGGCCUCGGUCAGGGCCGCCGCCCGCAGCCCUACCCGUCAUGUUUCAUGACAUGACAUGCAACGAUUUAGAUGACCGCCAUGUUUGACUAAUUUUAUAUUAAUUCAGACGUGCGUUGCACGUGCACGUUU